ensembl:snRNA U4 U4 spliceosomal RNA
AGCUUUGUGCAGUGGCAAUAUUGUAGCCAAUGAGGUUUAUCUGAGGCGCAAUAAUUGCUAAUUGAAACAGAUGAAUGGAUAAAGAAGAUGUGGUAUAUAUAUAUACAAUGGAUAAUUAUGCAGCCAUCAAAAGG